UACGUAGGGGCAAGCGUUGUCCGGAAUCAUUUGGGCGUAAAGCGCGUGUAGGCGGUUCAGUAAGUCUGCUGUGAAAGUCCAGGGCUCAACCUCGGAACUGCCUUCGAUACUGCGGGUCUCGAGUCCGGGGAGAGGUGAGUGGGAAUUCCUAGUGUAGAGGUGAAAAUUUCGUAGAUAUUAGGAAGAACACCAGUGGCGAAGGCGGCUCACUGGCCCGGUACUGA
rnacentral:rRNA from 1 species